rnacentral:lncRNA from 1 species
GAAUCUCUGGCUGCAGCUCAGAGAAAACAGAAAGGCAUCGGUAAUAGAAAAAUCUGGAAACAUGUUCUAGUUCUGGGCAAUUAUCCUACAAAUCCUGCCAGGCGCAGUAAGAUUGAGGAGCUAAAAACAGACUUGGGUGGAUGUCUGCAGCUGCAAGAAGAUGUGUGGGAACAGACACAGAAACUCUCCCUCCCAGAUAAGCAAGACAAAGAAACACAGAAUAAGAGUCCAUCUAUGUGGUCAGAGAAUGGGAUAAGAGCUGAUUUAAAAAAACUCUGCUCUAUAUAGAAGGCACACCUGGUCCCAACCAAACCACUGGACCCUAGGAGGAUAAGACCUCCUCUGCUCAUGAGCCCCCUCCUCAGUAGCCCAUUUAUAAAAACCCUGACAAUUUUACUACCACUUGGCAACCCGCUCGGGACCCCUCUCUGUGAUGGAGAGCUGUUCUUUUCUUUUGCCUAUUAAACUCCUGCUCCAAACUCACUGUGUGUGUGUCUGUCUGCAACCUCAAUCUCCUUGGCCAUGACACCAAAAACCUUAGUAUUUACCCCAGACAACAAGGCUGCUUCACCAGCCUUCUCACAUUAAAUUCCACACAUUGCAUGUCGGUGCUGUCACAGCUGUGUCUAUCACCACAGCAACAAGCAGACGGACUC